rnacentral:rRNA from 1 species
CCUACGGGAGGCAGCAGUGGGGAAUAUUGCACAAUGGGGGAAACCCUGAUGCAGCGACGCCGCGUGAGUGAAGAAGUAAUUCGUUAUGUAAAGCUCUAUCAGCAGGGAAGAAAAUGACGGUACCUGAGUAAGAAGCCCCGGCUAACUACGUGCCAGCAGCCGCGGUAAUACGUAGGGGGCAAGCGUUAUCCGGAUUUACUGGGUGGAAAGGGAGCGUAGACGGCAGUGCAAGUCUGGAGUGAAAGGCGGGGGCUCAACCCCCGGACUGCUCUGGAAACUGUACGGCUGGAGUGCAGGAGAGGUAAGUGGAAUUACUAGUGUAGCGGUGAAAUGCGUAGAUAUUAGGAGGAACACCAGUGGCGAAGGCGGCUUACUGGACUGUAACUGACGUUGAGGCUCGAAAGCGUGGGGAGCAAACAGGAUUAGAUACCCUAGUAGUC